rnacentral:rRNA from 1 species
GAUGAACGCUGGCGGCGUGCUUAACACAUGCAAGUCGAACGAAGCAUUUACGACAGAUUUCUUCGGAUUGAAGUUGUUUAUGACUGAGUGGCGGACGGGUGAGUAACGCGUGGGUAACCUGCCUUGUACUGGGGGAUAGCAGCUGGAAACGGCUGGUAAUACCGCAUAAGCGCACAAUGUUGCAUGACAUGGUGUGAAAAACUCCGGUGGUAUAAGAUGGACCCGCGUCUGAUUAGCUAGUUGGUGAGAUAACAGCCCACCAAGGCGACGAUCAGUAGCCGACCUGAGAGGGUGACCGGCCACAUUGGGACUGAGACACGGCCCAGACUCCUACGGGAGGCAGCAGUGGGGAAUAUUGCACAAUGGAGGAAACUCUGAUGCAGCGACGCCGCGUGAGUGAAGAAGUAAUUCGUUAUGUAAAGCUCUAUCAGCAGGGAAGAUA